ensembl:misc_RNA Metazoa_SRP Metazoan signal recognition particle RNA
GCUGGGCAUAGUGGCGCAUGCCUGUAGUCCCAGCUACUCAGGAGGCUGAGGCAGGAGAAUCGCUUGAACCCGGGAGGCGGAGGUUGCAGUGAGCCGAGAUCGUGUCACUGCAGCCCGGGUGACAGAGCGAGACUCUGUCUCAA